rnacentral:rRNA from 1 species
CCUACGGGAGGCAGCAGUGAGGAAUAUUGGUCAAUGGACGAGAGUCUGAACCAGCCAAGUAGCGUGAAGGAUGACUGCCCUAUGGGUUGUAAACUUCUUUUAUAAAGGAAUAAAACGAGGCACGUGUGCCUUUUUGCAUGUACUUUAUGAAUAAGGAUCGGCUAACUCCGUGCCAGCAGCCGCGGUAAUACGGAGGAUCCGAGCGUUAACCGGAUUUAUUGGGUUUAAAGGGAGCGUAGAUGGGUUGUUAAGUCAGUUGUUAAAGUUUGCGGCUCAACCGUAAAAUUGCAAUUGAUACUGGCAGUCUUGAGUACAGUUGAGGUAGGCGGAAUUCGUGGUGUAGCGGUGAAAUGCUUAGAUAUCACGAAGAACCCCGAUUGCGAAGGCAGCUUACUAAACUGUGACUGACAUUGAUGCUCGAAAGUGUGGGUAUCAAACAGGAUUAGAUACCCGGGUAGUC